UUCCAGACUCCUACGGGAGGCAGCAGUGGGGAAUAUUGCACAAUGGGGGAAACCCUGAUGCAGCGACGCCGCGUGAGUGAAGAAGUAUCUCGGUACGUAAAGCUCUAUCAGCAGGGAAGAUAAUGACGGUACCUGACCAAGAAGCCCCGGCUAACUACGUGCCAGCAGCCGCGGUAAUACGUAGGGGGCAAGCGUUAUCCGGAUUUACUGGGUGUAAAGGGAGCGUAGACGGCAGCACAAGUCUGGAGUGAAAUCCCGGGGCUUAACCCCGGAACUGCUUUGGAAACUGUGCGGCUGGAGUGCAGGAGGGGUAAGCGGAAUUCCUAGUGUAGCGGUGAAAUGCGUAGAUAUUAGGAGGAACACCGGUGGCGAAGGCGGCCCCCUGGACGAAGACUGACGCUCAGGUGCGAAAGCGUGGGGAGCAAACAGGAUUAGAUACCCCAGUAU
rnacentral:rRNA from 1 species